AACGAACGCUGGCGGCAGGCCUAACACAUGCAAGUCGAACGCCGUAGCAAUACGGAGUGGCAGACGGGUGAGUAACACGUGGGAACGUACCCUUCGGUUCGGGAUAACUCAGGGAAACUUGAGCUAAUACCGGAUACGUCCGAGAGGAGAAAGAUUUAUUGCCGAGGGAUCGGCCCGCGUCUGAUUAGCUUGUUGGUGAGGUAACGGCUCACCAAGGCGACGAUCAGUAGCUGGCUGAGAGGAUGAUCAGCCACAUUGGGACUGAGACACGGCCCAAACUCCUACGGGAGGCAGCAGUGGGGAAUAUUGGACAAUGGGCGCAAGCCUGAUCCAGCCAUGCCGCGUGAGUGAUGAAGGCCCUAGGGUUGU
rnacentral:rRNA from 1 species